ACUCCCCGCUCGGCCCCGCGGAAGCUCCGCCGCGCCAUGUCUUCGCCUCCCGAAGGGAAACUAGAGACUAAAGCUGGACACCCGCCCGCCGUGAAAGCUGGUGGAAUGCGAAUUGUGCAGAAACACCCACAUACAGGAGACACCAAAGAAGAGAAAGACAAGGAUGACCAGGAAUGGGAAAGCCCCAGUCCACCUAAACCCACUGUGUUCAUCUCUGGGGUCAUCGCCCGGGUAAGUCUGGGAGCGUCUGCGGUGGGUUUGAGGCUUUUGCAUGGCAGCAUGGAGUCUCCUGGUUGCUUCUGGUUUUGUUAAACUCUACCUGGAAUAACCCAGCACCACUGCUCAUCUCCUCUGUGGCCAUGGCUCUCUUCAUUGCCGCGUUUCCCCAGAGGCUGCUUCUGCAGACCGCAGGCCAGACGCGCAUCCUUUACCUUUCCAGAGCCGCCGUCUGGGUGACAAAGAUUUCCCCCCGGCGGCUGCGCAGGUGGCUCACCAGAAGCCGCAUGCCUCCAUGGACAAGCAUCCUUCCC
rnacentral:sRNA from 1 species